CCUACGGGAGGCAGCAGUGAGGAAUAUUGGUCAAUGGAUGAGAGUCUGAACCAGCCAAGUAGCGUGAAGGAUGACUGCCCUAUGGGUUGUAAACUUCUUUUAUAAAGGAAUAAAACGAGGCACGUGUGCCUUUUUGCUUGUACUUUAUGAAUAAGGAUCGGCUAACUCCGUGCCAGCAGCCGCGGUAAUACGGGGGAUCCGGACGGUAUCAGGAGUUAUUGGGUUUAAAGGGUGCGUAGAUGGGUUGUUAAGUCAGGUGUGAAAGUCUGCGGGUCAACCGUAAAAUUGCAAUUGAUACUGGCAGUCUUGAGUACAGUUGAGGUAGGCGGAAUUCGUAGUGUAGCGGUGAAAUGCUUAGAUAUCACGAAGAACCCCGAUUGCGAAGGCAGCUUACUGAGCUUUGACUGACAUUGAUGCUCGAAAGUGUGGGUAGCAAACAGGAUUAGAUACCCGUGUAGUC
rnacentral:rRNA from 1 species